UAUAUCUUAGUAUAAAAUGUACAUGAGAUUUUGAUUCUCAUAGGGAAAGAUUAAACUUUUAGAUGUAA
rnacentral:tRNA from 1 species